CCGGGAGGGGCCCCAGGGGGGAGGAGCCAACAGGUCCACAGGUAACCGCGUCCACAGGUUCGAAGGAGAAUAAACCGGCGUGCGUGUGCAGAGACGGCGGGCAGCGCCCCGAAGAACGCCGACGCCCACCAGCCGUCCUUUGUGUUCGUCCGCGUGCGUGUUUUUGCACCACGGGCACAUUUUCGCACCCGCAAGAGACGACAAGCGGGCCUGGCAGCCGGCGCUCGUGUCAGCAGCCGCCGCCGUGAGGCUGGCACGCCGGGCGCCCGGCUGAGGAGACUCGUCCCUCUGCGUCCCGCAGCCAGAGAAAGUAAAAGUAGGUCAGUUUU
ensembl:lncRNA